rnacentral:tRNA from 1 species
GCGGAAGUGGCGAAAUUGGCAGACGCGCAAGACUUAGGAUCUUGUGCCGCAAGGCGUAGGGGUUCGAGUCCCCUCUUCCGCACCA